rnacentral:rRNA from 1 species
GUGCCAGCAGCCGCGGUAAUACAGAGGGGGCAAGCGUUGUUCGGAAUUACUGGGCGUAAAGGGCGUGUAGGCGGCCUUCUAAGUCGGACGUGAAAUCCCUCGGCUUAACCGGGGAACUGCGUCCGAUACUGGAGGGCUUGAAUCCGGGAGAGGGAUGCGGAAUUCCAGGUGUAGCGGUGAAAUGCGUAGAUAUCUGGAGGAACACCGGUGGCGAAGGCGGCAUCCUGGACCGGCAUUGACGCUGAAACGCGAAAGCCAGGGGAGCAAACGGGAUUAGAUACCCCGGUAGUCCUGGCCCUAAACGAUGAAUGCUUGGUGUGGCGGGUAUCGAUCCCUGCCGUGCCGGAGCUAACGCGUUAAGCAUUCCGCCUGGGGAGUACGGUCGCAAGGCUGAA